rnacentral:rRNA from 1 species
UACAGAGGUCUCAAGCGUUGUUCGGAUUCAUUGGGCGUAAAGGGUGCGUAGGUGGUGAUGCAAGUCUGGUGUGAAAUCUCGGAGCUCAACUCCGAAACUGCAUUCGAUACUGCCGUGCUUGAGGACUGGAGAGGAGACUGGAAUUUACGGUGUAGCGGUGAAAUGCGUAGAUAUCGUAAGGAAGACCAGUGGCGAAGGCGGGUCUCUGGACAGUUCCUGACGCUGAGGCACGAAGGCCAGGGGAGCAAACGGGG